AAAGGAAGAGGCCGAGGAAGAGGUCGAAGAGGUGGAAGAGGGCAGAAUUCAGCAUCGAGAGGAGGGUCUCAAAGAGGAAGAGACACUGGUCUGGAGACUUCUACCCGUAGCAGGAACUCAAAGACUGCUGUGUCAGCAUCUAGAAAUAUGUCUAUUAUAGAUGGUGAGUAUAGACUGCAAGUGAUUAUUUAUAAAUUCCAACAUUAGAAAGACCAAGGUAAUCACCAUUGGUAG
rnacentral:ncRNA from 2 species